GUGAGGAAUUUUCCGCAAUGGGCGAAAGUCUGACGGAGCAAUGCCGCGUGAAGGAUGAAGGCCUAUGGGUUGUAAACUUCUUUUCUUAGAGAAGAAUAUUGACGGUAUCUGAGGAAUAAGCAUCGGCUAACUCUGUGCCAGCAGCCGCGGUAAGACAGAGGAUGCAAGCGUUAUCCGGAAUGAUUGGGCGUAAAGCGUCUGUAGGUGGCUUCAAAAGUCUCCUGUCAAAGAUCAGGGCUUAACCCUGGGCCGGCAGGAGAAACUCUGAGGCUAGAGUUUGGUAGGGGCAGAGGGAAUUCCCGGUGGAGCGGUGAAAUGCGUAGAGAUCGGGAGGAACACCAAAGGCGAAAGCACUCUGCUGGGCCACAACUGACACUGAGAGACGAAAGCGAGGGGAGCAAAAGGGAUUAGAUACCCGGGUAGUCC
rnacentral:rRNA from 1 species